rnacentral:rRNA from 1 species
UACGGAGGGUGCGAGCGUUAUUCGGAAUUAUUGGGCGUAAAGGGCGCGUAGGCGGCUUUACAAGUCAAAGGUGAAAUCCCUCGGCUCAACUGAGGAACUGCCUUUGAAACUGUCUGGCUUGAGGCCGGGAGGGGGUAGCGGAAUUCCCAGUGUAGCGGUGAAAUGCGUAGAUAUUGGGAGGAACACCAGUGGCGAAGGCGGCUACCUGGACCGGUUCUGACGCUGAUGCGCGAAAGCGUGGGUAGCAAACAGG